rnacentral:rRNA from 1 species
GACGAACGCUGGCGGCGUGCCUAAUACAUGCAAGUAGGACGCAGUUGCGAACGGGUGAGUAACGCGUAGGUAACUGCCUAUUAGAGGGGGGUAACUAUUGGAGACGAUAGCUAAUACCGCAUACUAGUAGAUGGACCUGCGUUGUAUUAGCUAGUAGGUAGGGUAAUGGCCUACCUAGGCAACCAUACAUAGCCGACCCGGGGGGGGGAUCGGCCCAAACUGGAAUGGGACAAGGGCCAGACUCCUACGGGAGGGAGCCGGAGGGGAUCUUUGGCAAAGGGGGGAAAGCUGAACGAGCAACGGCGGGGGAGUGAAGAAAGUUUUCCGGUCGGAAAGCUUUGUUGGUAAGGAAGCGGUACUUAACCAGAAAGGGACGGCUAACUACGUGCCAGCAGCCGCGGUAAUAC